rnacentral:tRNA from 1 species
AAGAAGGUGGUAGAGCGGUUAUACAAUUGGCUUGAAACUAAUUAAUGUGGGUUCGAUUCCUACCCUUUUUG